UGAGGAAUAUUGGUCAAUGGGCGAGAGCCUGAACCAGCCAAGUAGCGUGCAGGAUGACGGCCCUAUGGGUUGUAAACUGCUUUUAUGUGGGGAUAAAGUGCGUGACGUGUCAUGCAUUGCAGGUACCACAUGAAUAAGGACCGGCUAAUUUCGUGCCAGCAGCCGCGGUAAUACGGAAGGUCCGGGCGUUAUCCGGAUUUAUUGGGUUUAAAGGGAGCGUAGGCUGUCUAUUUAGUGUGUUGUGAAAUUUACCGGCUCAACCGGUGGCUUGCAGCGCGAACUGGUCGACUUGAGUAUGCAGGAAGUAGGCGGAAUUCAUGGUGUAGCGGUGAAAUGCUUAGAUAUCAUGACGAACUCCGAUUGCGCAGGCAGCUUACUGUAGCAUAACUGACGCUGAUGCUCGAAAGGGCGGGUAUCAAACAGG
rnacentral:rRNA from 1 species